AAUUUGAGAAGAAUAAACCAUAGGGGUCUUGUGCACCUCCAUUCUCUCGCUUCCUUAUCGUUUUUUUGGUGCUGUCACGUGAGCUUUGAAGGCAUGCCAGAAGAAGAUGCUUUACCUCCAUCCCUCACUCGUUUAACAAUCGGUGAUGAAUGUCCGUUGCUGAAGGAGAGGUGUGAAAAGGAUAAAGGACCAGAUUGGCCUAAAAUUGCUCAUAUCCCUCAUGUAGACAUGUAGACACUAGACUCUCGAAAAGGUCUGUAGGAUUUGUGCCAAAAAAUAAGAGGACAGGUGGAGGAGAUGCCAGUAACUACGGGAACCAUGGACACUGCAACACAUCAUGCGGUUCAAAAAGUGUUGUAUUUGUUGUCGGAAACCUCCUCCUCCUUCUCCACAUCACUUUAAUUAAUUUAAAUCAUUAAUGCUCUCUUGCCUGACCCAUAGUUGUAAGUUAUAAUGCAUAUAAGAUAUGUGAAAAUAUUAUUCU